GGUUAGAGGUGCUGGAAGCAUGCACAUCUGGUGCUUCCUGAUUUUGUACCAUCCCUCUGAAGGCGUAGUUUUACAGAUUCCCAAAUGACCC